UGAGGGUGCGGAAAAUGGUCUUGAGUUUACCAUUGUGAGACCCUUCAACUGGAUUGGACCUAGAAUGGAUUUCAUUCCUGGGAUUGACGGCCCAAGUGAGGGUGUUCCAAGAGUUCUAGCCUGCUUUAGUAAUGUAUGUGCGAUGUUAGUUGUAAUAUUCCCUAUUUAUUUGGUAUUUCAUAUUUGUGUUGUGAUCACAUCCUGCUUUCUCUGUUGCAGAAUCUUCUUCGACGUGAGCCACUCAAGCUUGUAGAUGGUGGCCAAUCCCAGAGAACUUUUGUGUACAUAAAGGAUGCUAUUGAAGCUGUUAUGUUGAUGAUUGUAAGUUAUAAGAAAAACAUCUCUCUUUUCAAAUUAAUAUUUAGCAUGCAAAAGAAGUUGCUCAUCAAUGUGACAUCUUCCUCAGGAAAAUCCUGCUAGGGCCAAUGGCCACAUUUUCAAUGUUGGCAACCCUAACAAUGAAGUUACCGUCAGGCAGCUUGGUGAAAUGAUGACUGAGGUGAAGAAUUGUCUUUGAUAUACCCUUUUUUCUUUAGUUUAUUAAGUUGGAUUAGCAGUCCUAUAUUUGGAUAUGAGGAUUGAUGUUCUUGCAUAUUGCAGGUCUAUGUUAAGGUAAGUGGUGAAUCAAAACUGGAGACACCAACCAUCGAUGUAAGCUCUCAAGAAUUCUAUGGAGUGGGAUAUGAUGAUAGUGACAAGAGAAUUCCUGACAUGACUAUUAUCAAUAAGCAGCUUGGUAUAUAUCUUUCUUGUACCCCAUCUUUAAUGUAAAUGAGCUCUGACUUUACGGCAUUCUAACUAUGUAAUGUGACAGGCUGGAACCCGAAGACUUCGCUAUGGGACCUGCUUGAAUCAACCCUCACCUAUCAGCAUAGGACAUAUGCCGAAGCUGUCAAGAAGGCCAUCUCCCAAGCAUCUGCUACAAGCUAAAUGAGUAUGGCUUUGGGAGGAUUCUUGCUUAGGUGUGCUGUUGUUUGACAGGUGUUCAAAAUU
rnacentral:lncRNA from 1 species